GACGAACGCUGGCGGCGUGCCUAAUACAUGCAAGUUGAGCGCUGAAGGUUGGUACUUGUACCAACUGGAUGAGCAGCGAACGGGUGAGUAACGCGUGGGGAAUCUGCCUUUGAGCGGGGGACAACAUUUGGAAACGAAUGCUAAUACCGCAUAAAAACUUUAAACACAAGUUUUAAGUUUGAAAGAUGCAAUUGCAUCACUCAAAGAUGAUCUCGCGUUGUAUUAGCUAGUUGGUGAGGUAAAGGCUCACCAAGGCGAUGAUACAUAGCCGACCUGAGAGGGUGAUCGGCCACAUUGGGACUGGGACACGGCCCAAACUCCUACGGGAGGCAGCAGUAGGGAAUCUUCGGCAAUGGACGGAAGUCUGACCGAGCAACGCCGCGUGAGUGAAGAAGGUUUUCGGAUCGUAAAACUCUGUUGGUAGGGAAGAACGUUGGUGAGAGUGGAAAGCUCAUCAAGUGACGGUAACUACCCAGAAAGGGACGGCUAACUACGUG
rnacentral:rRNA from 1 species